ensembl:lncRNA
GCCACUCCUUUCCAUUAGAACUGCACUUUAUUUCCAAUCAAUUAGAAGAAUACCCAGCCAUUUACCGUCAUUAGAAUGUUUUAAUGCAUUUUUCUAACUAGACACACACACACACACACACACACACACACACACACACACCAGCUGGGGCAUAGGUUUGACUCUCAGCCUGAAGCAUCGCAUUGGCUUCCCAUCAGUGGAAUACAAUGGAGGCAUAUUCCACUUGGUCUGGUGAUGUCUUCCUGGGCCGAUCGAAAGGGGGCACGUUGGCAUAGACAGCGAAGUCAUCCUCUUUCCAGGGAGUCAGGUUGAUCACAUUGGAAUAUAUGGCAUCAGUGUGGCAGGAAAACUCCUUCAGAGACAGGACCCCGGUUACAGACAGAUAACUAAGCACUAGAGACAUCCAUAGAUAGCACCAGCUACUGGGCCCCCUGUAGGACAGCGAUGAAAUAUUGGGUUCUUGUGCAAGACUUGGAUUUCCCUCGAUCUUAAAAAAACAUUUCUUUUAGGGCUGUUCCCUGCCUCAUCCCCAUCACCUCUGACAUGGGGUCUACUUCGGAAACAGCAUCAAAUCGUGGCAGAAGGGACUGGAAGUUCCUUUAGGGUCAUGGACAAGAGACCCACCAGAAGCAAGAUGAGAGCCACCACACCAACGGAGCCAGAGAUGACUGUGGCUGCUGUGCCCAAACUGUGGGAAGCAAACCAGAGAAAUGAGGACGCUCCACCCGCCUCGGCCAGCUUUGGUGACCAUCCACAGAAUUGUCCUGGGGCCUCCCUACUCCUACAGGAGCUCUUCCACCUCUGGGUUCCCACUUCCCCCAAACCCACCUCCUGCCUCCAUUUUGAGCCUCUCUCCUCUGCCCCGACCUCCAGAGCCAUGGUCCCAGUCACACCCGUCCCCCUUCUGGGCCAAGCAGACCGCCUCCCACAGCCCCCGACACUUCUCAUCCGUAGGUCCAGCUCUCCUCUCAACUACCUGCUGAGUUCAUCAGUUCUCCCAUUCUUACAAAGGGCUGAGCGAUACCAGAUAUGGCAGGAUGUACAGGAAAAAAAAAAAAAGUAACCGGAAUGACACGGGUGAGUGGUACCCAGAGUGGGGCAUGUGGUGGGGUUGGAAGCGGUCAGGACCCUGGAAAGUUGGGCUGAUACUGGGCAGAGGUGGCAGGUGUAAGAGCUUGCCCAGACUGGUGGCAGAUGGCUGUGCUAUUAUCCACACUGUAAAAACAUUUCUCCAGCACCAAAGGAUGAAGACACCAGCCCAUGCCCCACAGACUGUGCCUGUGUUCUCAGGAGCUGAGGCGAAUCUCCAAAAACAUCCUAGUCAAACCCUCCCACUGUGCAGGUGAGAAGCUUCAGGACAAACCACUUGCCCCACACAAGUGCUGGAGCCAUGAGCCUAUGUUUCCGACCCCAAACCCAAAGUUCUCUUUAUCUGCACUCAGGCUCCUCCCUCUUCCUUUCCCCCAUAAAGUGGGGCUACACAAUUCAGCCCCCAUGGCAGGUAGCACCUCUCCAGACACGUCUUGGGAACUGGCUUAUCAGACACCCAGAUGCAGAGAUUGUUGCUCAGGUUGGGUGAAGGGAACAUGGGGGGUCACUGGGGCAACCUAACAUGCAUGAUGACAAAUAGCAUCUAGGAGGAGGCACACCAAGAAUCACGACCACUCGGGACAUUAAGGUCAGAUAGAAUUGUGUCAGGCACCUUAAUGGUCCACUUGCCGUCUGCCUCUCUUUCUGUCCUCCUUCUAAAUAAGAUAGCUGACCUCACCAAGGUUUUCUUUGACAAACUCCUGCCCACCUUCUGAGUGAGGGGUAGGGAGGGGACUUGGAAACCAGAUCUUCCCAGUGCCCAUGUCACCAACACCCACGAUGAGGAACCAAGUCACAGGGCUUGAUGUGUGGGAGACUGGGGUGGGGAGUGAGAUGUCACACAGAAGCCCAGAACAAUGAAAGGGGAGCCUGGGGCACCAGUGGGGGGGUGGGCUGCUGGGAAUAGGACACACCGUUUUCAUAUGGUGGCUCAAAGCAGGAGGAACAACAGCCAUAGGCGUGUCCCUCCAGGGUUGGCAAGGACCAAGAGGGCAUAGGAGUGAGGAGAACAAGCAUGAAGGAUGAUACCAUGAAAGAGCCUGAGCUUUAGAAUCCAGUGACUUGGGUCUCAGGCACUUCUUAACUGUGAUCUUAGUCACUUAACCUCUCUGCGCCUUAUUUUCUCCAUCUGUGAAAUGAACAUAGUAAGACUACCAACCCCACAGGGUUGAGAACUGAGUGGUCAGACUAUUACUUAACAGUAAGUCAUAGCCACUUGGCCUAGGGCUGGUUUUCAGCUGGUCUUACCCGAGCAGAGCAAUGGUGAGGGGUUGUUCAGGAAGGCAUCGCUGCUGACUCUGGAGUCCUGGAACCCACAGUUGGUCCAAUUCAUUUCACCAGGGAGUCCACUCAGCCGGUUCCUGUUCCAGGUCCUGUGGGUCUUAGGACAGGUGGUCUCCUUACCUGGAAACAGAGCUUCUCAGAGGCAUCUAGCAGCAGCUGGGAGAGACAAAACCCCAGGGAACUGGCACCCCUCUUGUCUACCUUUCUCAUUCCACCACGGGAGCCUGCUGGGUGAAGAGAACGUUAGAAUCUUGGCACUGGAGGGGAAGACCUCAAAAAGCAUUGCAGGGGUGCCUUGGUUGGGCAUCCAACUCUUGAUUUCAGCUCAAGCCAUGAUCUCAUAGUUCAUGAGAUCGAGCCCCGUGCCAGGGUCUGAGCUGACAGCGCAAAGCCUGCUUGAGAUUUUCUCUCUCCCUCUCUCUCUGCCCCUCCCCCACUCAUGCAUGCACAUUCACUUUCUCGCUCUCUCUCAAAAAUAAAUAAAUAUUUUUUAAAAACA